rnacentral:lncRNA from 1 species
AAAAAUAUCAGAGUUGCUCCUGUGUCUGCACAGACAGAAUCUGUAAAUUUUAAUUUUUUGUCAUUUGGCUUCUAGAUGUCCUUGGCGUGUGCACCCUUGUGGAAUCCGGUUCAUCUCCAAUCUGUCAAGAAGCAUCAGAGGUGGUUUUGAUUCCUUAUGUCCUGAGUCUGUGCACAAAAUGUUCAUUUAUUCAAGACAUAGUUGUUAGUCAUAAUGAAGAGAAGUAUUAAGAUGCUGCCACUAAUCUCUGGGAACAGAGGCUAGGUAAGAGUAAGGAUAGUAAACAGGCAAUAUCAAUAUAUUAUACAGAAUGCUAUGAUGCAGAGGUUGGUUAAGGAUACAUUAAAAGAAAUUAGGAAAUAAUCCUGGUGACGUGACAUGAGGUUGAGAUAUAAAGAAUGAAUAAGGAAGGAGCUAGUUGAACAUGAGUGGGAUAGAGUGAUGG